CUGGGUUUGUCCCCAAACUUAUGUGACCCUGCAGAGACCCUUCGAGAAACCUCAUCUCGACCAAAAGCUAAAGCUGAUUGGUGAGUAUGGGCUCCAGAACAAAUGUGAGGUCUGGAGGGUCAAAUUUACCCUGGUCAAGAUCCAUAAGGCCGCCCGGGAGCUGCUGACGCUUGAUGAGAAGGACCCACGGCGUCUGUUCGAAGGCAUUGCCCUGCUGCAGUGGCUGGUCCGCACUGGGGUGCUGGAUGAGGGCAAGAUGAAGCUGGAUUACAUCCUGGGCCUGAAGAUCAAUGAUUUCUUAGAGAUUCCUACAGACCCAGGUCUUCAAGCUUGGCUUGGCUAAGUCCAUCCGCCACGCUCAUGUGCUGAUUCAACAGUGUCAUAUCCGUGUCCGUGAGCAGGUGGUAAAUAUCCUGUUCUUCACUGUCCGCCUGGAUUCCCAGAAGCACAUUGACUUCUCCCUCUGCUUCCCUAUUGGGGUGGCCAACCCCAGCCACGUGAAGAGGAAGAAUGCCAGCAAGGGCCAGGGUGGGGCUGGAGCCAGAGAUGACGAGGAGGAGGAAUAAGCCUGCUUGUCCCCUCCU
rnacentral:lncRNA from 1 species